AACGAACGCUGGCGGCAGGCUUAACACAUGCAAGUCGAGCGCCCCGCAAGGGGAGCGGCAGACGGGUGAGUAACGCGUGGGAAUCUACCGUGCCCUACGGAAUAACGCAUGGAAACGUGUGCUAAUACCGUAUACGCCCCACGGGGGAAAGAUUUAUCGGGGUAUGAUGAGCCCGCGUUGGAUUAGCUAGUUGGUGGGGUAAAGGCCUACCAAGGCGACGAUCCAUAGCUGGUCUGAGAGGAUGAUCAGCCACAUUGGGACUGAGACACGGCCCAAACUCCUACGGGAGGCAGCAGUGGGGAAUAUUGGACAAUGGGCGCAAGCCUGAUCCAGCCAUGCCGCGUGAGUGAUGAAGGUCUUAGGAUUGUAAAGCUCUUUCACCGGUGAAGAUAAUGACGGUAACCGGAGAAGAAGCCCCGGCUAACUUCGUGCCAGCCGCCGCCGUAA
rnacentral:rRNA from 1 species